rnacentral:lncRNA from 1 species
CUCAUCUCCAAAUAUGGCUGGGCCAAGACUUUCACACAGGGCUCAGGGACACGAUUUGGGUCCUGAGGAUCCGCUUUAUAGCUGUCUCACUUUAAGAACAGAACUCAGCAUGUGAUGGUCAAUAAAUAUCAUGGCCUUGCUCUAGACGCCUGGAGAAGGAGAUGCUGGUGACUACUCUGCUGGCAAAAGCCAUGUCCCAGAUGGCAUCUGGAGCAAGCACAGUUCCAGGGAACAGGACAUCUGGACGCAGAGGUGGACCUGGAUGGGAGACUGCUAGCCAAGGAAGGCGGCUGGGGUAGAUCCUCCACGAGGCCUCAAAAAGAAGCAGACCCAGCUCUGGACUUCAGACCCCCAAAUGGAACUACAGACUUCUGCCAAAGCCACACUGCCUGUGGAACUCUGCUCUUGCACAAUCCAGGCCCCCAACAUCUCCUCCUGUGUUAUUCUGGCCAUGGGAACAACUGUGAUCCAUGGCAGAGGCUACAUCAGCAAACAUGGAC